rnacentral:rRNA from 1 species
GACGAACGCUGGCGGCGUGCUUAACACAUGCAAGUCGAACGGAAAGGCCCUGCUUUUGUGGGGUGCUCGAGUGGCGAACGGGUGAGUAACACGUGAGUAACCUGCCCUUGACUUUGGGAUAACUUCAGGAAACUGGGGCUAAUACCGGAUAGGAGCUCCUGCUGCAUGGUGGGGGUUGGAAAGUUUCGGCGGUUGGGGAUGGACUCGCGGCUUAUCAGCUUGUUGGUGGGGUAGUGGCUUACCAAGGCUUUGACGGGUAGCCGGCCUUGGAGGGUGGACGGGCACAAUGGGACUGAGAUACGGCCCAGACUCCUACGGGAGGCAGCAGUGGGGAAUAUGGCACAAUGGGCGGAAGCCUGAUGCAGCAACGCCGCGUGCGGGAUGACGGGCUUCGGGUUGUAAACCGCUUUCGCCGGAGACGAAGCGUGAGUGACGGUAAUGGGUAAAGAAGCACCGGCUAACUACGUG